UGCUUUCAAAAUUCAGACUGUAGGGAAAACAACUCUCUGUAUAUAAUCCAUAAUUAUAAUACUUUUAUGGAUUUCUAUUUGACCUAAGAAAUAAUACCUUUACAAUUAUUCUGGAACAGUAAUGCUUAUAUUUUAGGUUUUUUACUCUAAAAAGUAACACUUUUUAAUGACAACUCAUCUAUAUAUCAAAUUUAUAGAAUAAUAAAAGAUUUGUUCCCUUUGAAAUAUGUAAAUAUGAUGUCUGACUGUGCAUUUGAAUUGCCCAGUUGUGAUAUACACAGCUCAAAAUAAAUGAGUUUCUGUUUGUGUGCUGUUUAGCUAAAGGCAAUGAAAAUAAUUUAAAAUGAUUUUUGUUCUUUGGGAAUUUUUUAGUUUUGAUUUAUUAAAAAUAGAACUGGAAGAAUAUUUGUGAACCUGCUUUGUGAGGUACUCCCUAGACCUGUAAACUCAAAUGCAAAUCUCUUGGAAUUGAUAGAAGAAAAGGAAAAAGAAACUCUUUGAAGAUUUAUUCAUGAAAUACUUAUGAUAAUGAUAAUGAUGAAAAAGUUGUAAAAGUCCCAAUUUCACACUGUUCUUUUCUUUUUACAAGGGAAAAGUACAUAUAUUGUUGAUGUUUUUUAGAGUCCUUUUGGUAUAAGCUGGUUUGAACUUAUAUCUAAGUAGGGUAUUUUCUUUUUCUCUUGAAGUAUCCUCAAUUACUAUUAUGUUAUAAUAAGAUUAGUGGCUUUAGAAAACUUAUUUGGGAGUUGUUUUCAAAGUGUUUAUUUGCAAAUGAUGCAAAUGUCCAUCCCAUCCCAUAUAGGGAAAAGGGGUUUGUAAUUACAAGAUGAAGAUGUUUAAAGCUCAGCUUCCUCUCUGAAGUUAGAGACUUAAGUGUCCACUCUAAGAUAAGUAUUUAGAAUUUAGUGAUUGUUUUUAAAAGUCAGGAAUAUGAGGGUUAUCACGUAACAAUUACUCUGUAAUUCUUUGAAACGAGACAUUUGUGUAACAGCUAAUAAAUUGCAUUUCAAAAUGAA
rnacentral:lncRNA from 1 species